rnacentral:rRNA from 1 species
UCAGCCGGCCAUAGCGUGUGGGUCCGACCUGGACUCGUCCGAUCCCAGAAGUCAAACCACAUGUCGCAUGGGCGUUAGUGAGCUCCGAAAGGGCUCGUGAAUCCCAUGUGCCGGCGCCC